GGGUCGGUGGUCUAGCUUGGCGAGAUUCUCGGUUCGGGUCCGAGGGAUCGUGAGUUCAAAUCUCACCCGGCCCACCA
rnacentral:tRNA from 1 species